rnacentral:rRNA from 1 species
UACGUAGGGUGCAAGCGUUAAUCGGAAUUACUGGGCGUAAAGCGUGCGCAGGCGGUUGUGCAAGACAGAUGUGAAAUCCCCGGGCUUAACCCUGGGAACUGCAUUUGUGACUGCACGGCUAGAGUGUGUCAGAGGGGGGGUAGAAUUCCACGUGUAGCAGUGAAAUGCGUAGAUAUGUGGAGGAAUACCGAUGGCGAAGGCAGCCCCCCUGGGAUAACACUGACGCUCAUGCACGAAAGCGUGGGGAGCAAACAGG